ACCCCGCACCUGAGACCCCGGCCUUCCACCUCCGCCUUCAGACCCCCCAUCCGAGCCCUCAUCCCUCCCCUUGGACCUCCCCCGCCUCGCUGGACCCCACCCCAGCCCUCCACUCCCAUCCCCUACUUUCCUCCCAGGCUCUCUUCCCCCUGUCUGGCCGUCACCCAGUCUGCCCUGCCUGGCCCUUUCCGCCCCAGCCCUCCCGGCUCUCCCCGCUUCCAGCCACACGUGCUCGGGGCCUUCCCACGGCUCCCCCUCCGGCCCCCCCGUCCCUCGUCCAGACAAGUACGGAAGUUCUCGGUGGCCGACUGCAGGAGGGCAGCCCUCCCACAACCUGGGAGGAAGGCCGCGGGGCCUCGCCGGCCGGGCAGUCUUCAACAGCCCCUCUUCCUCCAGCUCCAAUACACUUCCUCCGAAACCCACCUCUGACUCUCACUUGUUGGACCCCAGGGGUCCAGAUGAGUGACCCCAGCCAAAAGAAAGAAUCUCUUUUUCAAUGGUGCCAGGCAAAUUUCCAACAUUGAAGCUGAUCUCCCCAUCUCUGACUCAUCUCUGUGGGUAGGAGGGAUAAAAUGCCAUGGUGGCCAAGCCCAGAUCACCUGUCCUUUCCUGGACCCAAGGUAGCUUCCCAAAGGAAAACCAAGGUGCUGUUACCGGAACCAGGAGAAGACCAGCCCAGAAGAUGCCCCCUCCGCCCAGCCUGUUCCUGUGUCUUCACCAGGUCUCACUUUCCUCAACCCCAAAAGGAGGACUUCUUCCAGGCCCCUUUAUAAGGAUAACUUGGUUGGUUUUCAUCACUCUGUUGUUCCUGAGGAUUUUAAUAUAAUCUACCUAAC